GGGCGCAGGGGGCUAUGACCCCCGUGGGGACGCCCUCUACGCCCCCCCCCGCUACGAGGACCUGGAGGAUUUCGAGGGGUCCCGGAGGGGCCCCCCUCGCUCCUCCCGGCCCCGCAGCCCCCCCAGUGCCCCACAGGACCCCCCCCCGUGGCUCUUCCAGCCCCACAGCGUGGCCGAGCGGCCAGGGCGAGCCAGCGAGGAUGACCCCCAGGACGAGGCGCUGCCGGCAGAGCUGUGCGGGGUGCUGAGCGGCUGUGAGCAUGGGCGCUGCGUGCGGGUGCCCCAGGGCUUCACCUGCGCCUGCGACCCCGGGUACCGGCUGGAUGCGGCCCGCGUGGCCUGCGUGGACUUCGAUGAGUGCUCGGAGGCCGCCCUGUGCCGGGGGGGGCGCUGCCUCAACACCCCUGGCUCCUUCCGCUGCCUCUGCCCCCCCGGCUCCAUCCCGGCACAGGGACCCCCCCGCUGCGUCCCCGCACGCCCCCCUGCCUGAGCCCCCCCCCCCCCCCCCCCCCCCCCCGGGGGGGGGGGGGGGGGGGUCGGGGGGUGGGG